rnacentral:rRNA from 1 species
CCUACGUGAGGCUGCAGUGGGGGAUAUUGCACAAUGGUGGGAACCCUGAUGCAGCGACGCCGCGUGGGUGAAGGAGCGUUUCGGCGCGUAAAGCCCUAUCGGCAGGGAAGAAGAUGACGGUACCUGACCAAGCAGCACCGGCUAACUCCGUGCCAGCAGCCGCGGUAAUACGGAGGGUGCGAGCGUUAAUCGGAAUUACUGGGCGUAAAGCGCUCGUAGGCGGUAUGUCAAGUCAAGGGUGAACUCCCCGCGAUCAACGUGGGAACUGCCUUUGAAACUGGCAAACUGGAGUGUGUGAGAGGAUAGUGGAAUUCCAGGUGUAGGAGUGAAAGCCGUAGAUAUCUGGAGGAACAUCAGUGGCGAAGGCGACUAUCUGGCACAUAACUGACGCUGAGGAGCGAAAGCGUGGGUAGCAAACAGGAUUAGAUACCCGUGUAGUC